GGUACAGGAUCCUGUGACCUGGAGAUGUUGGAUCCAGCCACAACAGGAGAUGCAGAUCAGAUUGUGCUGUCUUGUUACCAAAGCAUUCCAAGUAUGGGGCCAUUGACAGUGCCUGUCCCUGGAGAUGGAGAGCCUGUUAAAUCUCUCUGUCCUCUCUACCUGGACUAAAAUGUCAUCCUUAUGAGAAGGCCUCACACUCUGCCUUCAGUCACAGACUUCUCCAUCAGUUCUUCUAGUUCAGUAAUCUCCUCUGGACUAGGAUAAGAUGGGCGAUGUGACCGAGAGGAAAUGAACAACAUUUCAUGUGCCAUACGUGUAAAUAAGCCCCGUCUGUUCCUGAGAUGCGCUGUUGUUCUCUUCCCACUGAGC
ensembl:lncRNA